GAAUAUUGGACAAUGGGGGCAACCCUGAUCCAGCCAUGCCGCGUGUAUGAAGAAGGUCUUCGGAUUGUAAAGCACUUUAAGUUGGGAGGAAGGGCUUUAGGUUAUUACUCUGAAGUUUUGACGUUACCAACAGAAUAAGCACCGUCUAACUCUGUGCCAGCAGCCGCGGUAAUACAGAAGGUGCAAGCGUUAAUCGGAAUUACUGGGCGUAAAGCGCGUGUAGGUGGUUCAGUAAGAUGGGUGUGAAAUCCCCGGGCUUAACCUGGGAAAUGCUUUCAUAACUGCUGAGCUAGAGUACGGUAGAAGGUAGUGGAAUUUCCUGUGUAGCGGUGAAAUGCGUAGAUAUAGGAAGGAACACCAGUGGCGAAGGCGACUACCUGGACUGAUACUGACACUGAGGUGCGAAAGCGUGGGGAGCAAAC
rnacentral:rRNA from 1 species